rnacentral:sRNA from 1 species
UUAUAGCCCUGAUGGGAGCGGCAUCUUUUUGUUCCGAUAGCUAUCGGAACAAAAAAUACAGCGGACAGCAGGUAGAGGG